rnacentral:lncRNA from 1 species
UCCUUCUUCCUGUUUCCCAUUACCGACAGGACGUGAAUUUUGAGAUGCUUCUAUUUUUUUUCAUGGAAAAUUCUUCAGCGUGUCUAUUUUUGUCGUGAUUGCCAGUUCAUUGAGACAAAAGGCUUGUAAUGGAGCAGAUGAUAUCUUCUCCCAUCUUGGAGCUUGUCCAGAAGACAAGAGCAAAUUGGCUUGGCUGGCUUGAGAAAUCUGCGAAUCCUCACAUCGCCACGCGAUUCCUCAUUCUUGCCAAGCAGACCACUGACCUCUGAGUUUGGAAAGAAUGCUGAGCUGCAGAGCCCACAACGUUGUAGUAUUGGAUCAUGUCAGGACUUCACGCUCCCUGAGCCCAUCUUUGAGCUACUCAGGAUGUAAAUAGAACAAAUGCUCCACCACUGCAUUCCUGGAAGUCCUGAGGAAGUGAGUCCAGAAACGCACCACUUUCAGGGGAAGAAAUCCUCAUCCGAGGCACCCCAUGCGACAGCCCCGUGGGUGCUUGCCUGGUGCGUGCGGACAGACAGAGCUGCUGGCCUCGGAACAGCUGCGUCCCCGAGUCACUUAUGGAACCAAGCCAAGAGGAAGGCAUGAUGUAAUGUGUGCCGCUAUCACUGGUGGAGCUCAGGUGGACUCCCAGCGUGACGUGCUCUGGCUUGGAUGGAUUUUUCAUCAAAAUGGAAAUAUGCCACCUCCACAUUGGAGAAUGAAGUGUUCGCUAGUAUUAAGUGCACCCCAGGAUCUAAUGCUCCUCUGCCUUGACCAAUUGGCUGUGGGUCAGGGGAUUUCUUCUGCUGUGCUAAUAAAUGCGUCUCUGUUUUGAAAUCAAGCUAGCAAGGAAAAAGAGAAUUUCUCAUUUUAAAUGCUCACUUUAAAAGGUGUCUACCAGAGCAGUUAGUGCCAGAGGGUGGAUACAGAAAUCAGAAGCAAAUGGAGGAGAAUAGGAAGGUGAACAUUUGGGAACAGUGAAGCCAAGAAACAAACAUGAAUGCUUUGGAGGUCAGAUCCAUCCAGGGGUGCCCAGAUAGUCCCUGUAGAGUUCCCAGACUAACAGAGUGCCAUGGGUGCUGGGAGCAACGGGUGCUGUGCGUUAGGGCAGUGGGGUGUCUGCUGCAUGUUUUGCUUGGGGCUCUUAAUGAAAACAUAUUGCUGUAGUCAUCCAGUUACUGCAGGGUGAGCAGACAGAAGGCUAAUAAGGGCAUUAUUGGGAAAAACACAUAUGAGUCAGGAAGACACAUUCUUUUCCCAAUGUAUAGACAUCCCAGAAUGAUGAAGGUGUCUGCCAUUCCCCGAUAACUACAGGCUGUGCAUCAAACACAGUGCCACGGACAGUAAUACCAUUCCCAUGACUAAUGCCACAGGAAUAUCUAAUAGAAUCAGGUCCCCAAAUAUCUCUUUUUUACCUGCAUUUUUUGAGCCUCAUAUUUCUAUUC